AGAAGAUGUAGGGCAUUUGGC
rnacentral:snRNA from 1 species